GAUGAACGCUGGCGGCGUGCCUAAUACAUGCAAGUCGAGCGAACGGACGAGAAGCUUGCUCCUCUGAUGUUAGCGGCGGACGGGUGAGUAACACGUGGAUAACCUACCUAUAAGACUGGGAUAACUUCGGGAAACCGGAGCUAAUACCGGAUCAUAUUUUGAACCGCAUGGUUCAAAAGUGAAAGACGGUUUUGCUGUCACUUAUAGAUGGAUCCGCGCUGCAUUAGCUAGUUGGUAAGGUAACGGCUUACCAAGGCAACGAUGCGUAGCCGACCUGAGAGGGUGAUCGGCCACACUGGAACUGAGACACGGUCCAGACUCCUACGGGAGGCAGCAGUAGGGAAUCUUCCGCAAUGGGCGAAAGCCUGACGGAGCAACGCCGCGUGAGUGAUGAAGGUCUUCGGAUCGUAAAACUCUGUUAUUAGGGAAGAACAGAUGUGUAAGUAACUGUGCACGUCUUGACGGUACCUAAUCAGAAAGCCACGGCUAACUACGUG
rnacentral:rRNA from 1 species